CAAGUCGUAAAAAUGGUUGUGUCGUGUUGAUUUUUCGAAAAUUCAUAUCACAGCCAUUUUGACGAGUUUGA
rnacentral:pre_miRNA from 1 species